CACCAAUCAGGUUUAAGCACUAUACAAAUGCAGCAGGUGAGUUCACCAAACUUAACCAAAAUGGAAGGAAGAGGAAGAGUGAGGAUGAGAGGGGGAAUCGGAGAAGGAGGAGAAGGAGGCAGAGGCCGUGCCAGAGGUAGAGGCCGAGGUAGAGGUAGAGGAAGAGGAAGAGGAAGAGGAAGACUUCAAGCAGGAGGAGGUGAAGCUCAAAGGAGAAGAGGUCCAACUUUAAGCAAUGAAAUUCGCGCAACUCUUGUGGACCAUUUUGUGAACCAUGGAUUGACGCUGAGGGAGGCUGGACUGAGAGUCCAGCCAAAUCUCAGCAGAUUCACCGUGGCAUCUGUCAUAAGGGCAUUCAGACUGGAAAACAGGAUUGAGGGUCGAGUACAACGAGGAGGAAGGGCUCCCAUUUUCACACCACUGCAGGAGAGAGAGAUUGUGAAUAUGGUUUUGGCAAAUAAUGCCAUCAGGCUUCGUGAAAUCCAGGCCAAAAUUAUUGAAGACCCAAAUCAUUUUUCAGAACGUGAAUCAGGUCUCUCUGUCCACCAUAGCUCGUAUCCUGAAGGCACAUCAGGUACAAAUGAAAUAGAUGUACCGAGUGCCUUUAGAGAGGAACUCGGAGAGGGUCAAUCAGCUGCGGCAUGAGUAUGUGGAGAGAGUCUUACAAAUGGAUGCUGAGGCCAUUCAGCAUGAGUACAUCUACAUAGACGAGGCGGGGUUUAACCUCUAAAAGCAUGGCGGUGGAAGGUUUACGAUCUGCACCCCCUGGCUCGGGUAGCCCUCGUUCACGCCAUGGAGGAGGCCUGUGACCAGGUUGAGAUUCUCUGGCCAUAUCCAGCUAGGAGUAGAGACC
ensembl:lncRNA